rnacentral:rRNA from 1 species
GACUUAACACAUGCAAGUCGAGCGAGAAACCACUUCGGUGGCGGACAGCGGCGAACGGGUGAGUAACACGUAGGUUACGUACCCUUUGGUGGGGGAUAGCCCAGGGAAACCUGGAUUAAUACCGCAUAUGACUCCGGUUGAAAGCCUUCGGGCGCCAAAGGAUCGGCCUGCGGCCCAUUAUUUAAUCCUAGACGGUGAGGUAACGGCUCACCGUGGGUACGAUGGGUAGCUGGUCUGAGAGGAUGAUCAGCCACACUGGGACUGAGACACGGCCCAGACUCCUACGGGAGGCAGCAGUGGGGAAUAUUGGACAAUGGGCGAAAGCCUGAUCCAGUCAUGCCGCGUGUGUGAUGAAGGCCUUAGGGUUGUAAAGCACUGUCGGGAGGGAAGAAAGCUUCGGCUUGACGGUACCUCGCAAGAAAGCACCGGCUAACUCCGUGCCAGCAGCCGCGGUAAUACGGGGGGUGCAAGCGUUGCUCGGAAUCACUGGGCGUAAAGCGUACGCAGGCGGCUUAUUAAGUCGGAUGUGAAAGCCCUGGGCUCAACCCGGGAAUUGCAUUCGAAACUGGUAGGCUUGAGUGUGAGAGAGGGAAGUGGAAUUCCAGGUGUAGAGGUGAAAUUCGUUGAUAUCUGGAGGAACACCGGCGGCGAAGGCGGCUUCCUGGCUCACAACUGACGCUCAUGUACGAAAGCGUGGGUAGCAAACAGGAUUAGAUACCCUGGUAGUCCACGCCGUAAACGAUGUUUACUAGGUGUUGGUGGAAUUCACCCCAUCAGUGCCGCAGCUAACGCAUUAAGUAAACCGCCUGGGGAGUACG